AUGAUGACUGUGAUGAUAAAACGCUAUUUAAUUUGCAUGCAGUUGAUAAAAUAGACUGCCUUGAACUGAUACAAUCCUCAGAGCAACUCUUAGGCGUGUAUUUCUUUCUAUUCCCAUUUUAAUAAAAAAUGAAACUAGUGCUCAGAAAAAUUAAAUGCGUGUGUAAGAUUACAAUACAAAUGGUAUGUAGCAUAACCAGAACUUGAGCCCAGGCAUUUCAACUUUUUACUUCAAAUCCCUAGGACUUUGCAUUAUACAGUUUAGUCUAGAUUCACUUUAAAGACUUAGACCUCUUUCAAUUAGGCUCUUAUUUGAUGCAAAUGAUGGUAGUAAAGUCAAUUGAAGAAUGCUUAAAUGAGAUCAAAGUUCCCAAACCUUUUUUGAAAAAUGUAACCAGCUAAUGGUAGGCUUCAGCCAAAUGCCAAUGAGAACCUUGCAAUGCAAAAUCUUGAGGCUCUGAAUUAGUAGUGGAGUUUUAACGUGAAUUAAUUGUUGAGAACAUUUUCCAAAGAUAAAAUGACAAAAGCACAAACCUACAUGCUAUGCCAACUUGAUGAGGUGAAAUGGGAUGAGAAUAGAUGAUAUACUCUGAGAACAAGAAAAUGGAAAGAGGCAGGUUUACAUGGAUCCUUUAAAUACAUUGACUGCCAUCCUUUUAACGGGAAGAAGUAGCUUUGAAAAUCUCACACCAGAGAGAGGGGGAAAAAAACUUGCCAAACUCUCUUCUUUUUUUAACUCUAUUGUUUGAAUGUUCAGUCAUUUGGUCUAUUCUGGUUUUGAUUCACAAAUGAGUUUUCAGAAACUACCUUCCUCCUUUUUUUUUUUUAAUGAAAUAUUUAACUUUUCCUCUGAAGACUGACACCCCGUCUCUGGGACCUGAGAGGGAUCCCCCUGAAGCAUUCUGUUUUUGUCAGCUGAGUUUACUUGUAUACUGUCUACAAAAUCUGGAAUGGUUUUCUCCUAAGGUACAAUUCAUUGGCUGUUAUGGACGUCACAUUUUCAUCCCUGUAUUUAUGAAUUCUCCAAAUAUUUUUCGAAUGCCAGUUGCACAGGCCCUGUCCCGGGCGAAGGAAAUAGAAUCUUUGUCCUGAAAAAGCUCCCAAUUUUGACUCUGGUUCUCGCUCCACCAGACCUCUUGUUUCUCUUCCACUGAAUUCCAAGCUUUCUGUCUGUGGAUACAAGUGAAUGCUGCUUUUUACAGAAUUCUCCUCCUGUAGCCCGCAUCCCAUCUUGCUCAUUUACCUACGUUACAGAAAAAAGGCAAAGGGAUCAGUGAGUCACUUGAUUGGCUUCCCGGGUAGAGGAUGAUGCUGAGAGGGCCCUUGGCAUGGCCACGCCCCGUGCGUGCUAGAGCUUUCUAUACAUUGAGGGGGAAACGUAUCUUUGGCACCUUAGGAAAUAAAGAAAGGAAGACUAAAGACAGAACACAGGGGGGAUGACAACCUCUUAACCUUUUAAAACAGCUGUGUUUCAGUUCAGUUUGUUCCCCUUUGCUUUGAGAGGGGGGUGGGGGAAAGAGAGGUAACUCUAAUUACAAAGGCCACGUUCCUUUCAGCUAUACUAUUUUCAAUCCUAUAUAAUUUGUACAGCUGAAGUGGUAAAGUGCUUGCUUUGAAAUGUGGAGAGAAGGGCCCCCCCCCCUUUAAUGCUUAGGAAAGGUUUAACAAAAGGACUUUGAUUUAAACAAAAGGAAAAUUCUCCAGGGCCUCAUGAUUGGUAUCCUCAAGAAGGAGUUUGCUUCCCCGCAGUGGUGGCCCUUGGAGGAAUCUGCUCCUCUUCCCCUCCCCCUGUCCCCUGGUUGGUGUUUUUCCUCCUCUGGGAUCCAGUGUGUUCACAGACCACCACUGAAGUGGGGUGCAAAUAGGCUAGGAUGAAAGGCAUGACUGGGUUCCUGAAAGGGCCCCUCCAGGUGGCUCAGGAACAGGAUGGGCUGCAUCCCCUGCCUGGCAAGUCCAUUCCCAAGACGGAACUUGAUCCCCUGGAGCUGGAGCAGCCUGGCCAGCAUUNNNNNNNNNNNNNNNNGGGCAGAAGCUAGUUAUUGAACGCUGAGUCUGAGGCCAGGCGACAGGGACAUGUCAUUUCAAAUACGAUGCAAAGGCGUCUUGACACACUUUGAGGUGGGUCUCGCUCUGUCCAUGCUGCAGGGAAGAGAGGCUAGACAAAGCGGAAGUGAGUCAGCUCAAAGUUACCCUGCUAAUAAUAAACAUGCUGGUUUUGACCCUAAGUCGGUCUGAGUAAUAAAACCCAUGUCCUGUUCACCACGGCACAUUCCUUCCCGUGAAUCAGAAAGCAGUUUCUGGGGAAGGUGGUGGCAGAGGCCACAUGAUCGUGGGCAGUUGGAAGUCCUUCUGUCCUCCUCCUCCUGUUCUUGAGGAACCUGUUUGCAUGUGCGAACACACCGCGUCAGUGAUGGCUCCAGCCCUUUGCCUGUGUAAGUCCAGAUGCGAAAAAGAUUAACUGGACCAUGGAGACAAUACUUAAAUCCAAAGGUUUGCUAUCGUCGUGGGAGGAAAGUUGCACAAGAACCCUGUUUUGUUUUGUUUUUUUGCUUUUGCUUUUUGUCCCUGUGUUGAGGCACUAUAGCGCUGCUGCAAUAAUCACCCACAGGUUCAGGUAUCAUCCAUUGCCUUUAUUUUCUCUUUUCCUUUUUUCCUCCCUUUCUUUUUCUUUCUUUCUCUGUCUUUCUUUUCUUCUUUCCUUUUUUCUUUUUUUUGCAGUUGCGUCCCAAACGCUUAUUUCAUGGCACUGACUUGAUAUUUUCCAUGGUACCAUUCAUGACAUGCAGUGAUGAGUCAUUUUUAGAAAAACAGGUAUAGAGUGUAAUAUGAAAAUAAACAGGUCAGCAAACAUGAUUCUCUUCCUCACUUUUCAAAUUCUACCAUCCCCCCUCCCCCCAGGGUCCUGUCCCCCUUAUUGUUAUUUCUUUAGUUAGCAGCCCCUUUCUCAAGCACAAUCUUAUAUGGAACCUCAAUAUAUAUGACUGAUAAAGGAAGAUUUCGGUAGUAUGAUGUUUGUUAGAUUUCAGUGUGUAAUGCUGACUUAUAAAACCAAGACUAAAGAACAAUGAGGCUUUGUGAUGAACACAGAAAUUUGAAAUCGGUGUUACAGAUGACAGCUGCAGGCUUUUCUAACUUCAUUUUCCAGUUUAUUCCCUUUUGUUGAUUUUUUUACAAUAUUGUUGCACAGUAUUGAGAAAAUCUUGGUUCCCUAAAAUAUAGACUUGCAAGUAAUAAAAGGGUAUUGUAU
ensembl:lncRNA